rnacentral:tRNA from 1 species
GGUUCUGUAGUGUAGUGUUUAUCCCGUCUGUUUUACACACGAAAGGUUGUGAGUUCGAACCUCACCAGAAUAU